rnacentral:rRNA from 1 species
AUUGAACGCUGGCGGCAGGCUUAACACAUGCAAGUCGAGCGGGGUGAUGGUGCUUGCACUAUCACUUAGCGGCGGACGGGUGAGUAAUGCUUAGGAAUCUGCCUAUUAGUGGGGGACAACAUCUCGAAAGGGAUGCUAAUACCGCAUACGUCCUACGGGAGAAAGCAGGGGAUCACUUGCGACCUUGCGCUAAUAGAUGAGCCUAAGUCGGAUUAGCUAGUUGGUGGGGUAAAGGCCUACCAAGGCGACAAUCUGUAGCGGGUCUGAGAGGAUGAGCCGCCACACUGGGACUGAGACACGGCCCAGAGUCCUACGGGAGGCAGCAGUGGGGAAUAUUGGACAAUGGGGGGAACCCUGAUCCAGCCAUGCCGCGUGUGUGAAGAAGGCCUUAUGGUUGUAAAGCACUUUAAGCGAGGAGGAGGCUCUUUUGGUUAAUACCCAAGAUGAGUGGACGUUACUCGCAGAAUAAGCACCGGCUAACUCUGUGCCAGCAGCCGCAGUAA